GUAGUAUUCCCUCCGUCCCAAAAUUCUUGUCUUACAUUUGUUUAGAUACGNAAAAUUCUUGUCUUACAUUUGUUUAGAUACGGAUGUAUCUAACACUAAAAUGUAACUAGAUACAUCCGUAUUUAGACAAAUUUAAGACAAGAAUUUUGGGACGGAGGGAGUAGAAA
rfam:Triticum aestivum genome assembly, contig: Triticum_aestivum_CS42_TGACv1_scaffold_049782_1BS